GGUUGCAACAUCCCCGUGGGUUGGGCGCGAGCGCCAAAGGCGCAGACGCAGUGAAUCCACUGCAACC
rnacentral:sRNA from 12 species